UACGUAGGGUGCAAGCGUUGUCCGGAAUUAUUGGGCGUAAAGAGCUCGUAGGCGGUUUGUCGCGUCUGCUGUGAAAACCCGAGGCUCAACCUCGGGCCUGCAGUGGGUACGGGCAGACUAGAGUGCGGUAGGGGAGAUUGGAAUUCCUGGUGUAGCGGUGGAAUGCACAGAUAUCAGGAGGAACACCAAUGGCGAAGGCAGAUCUCUGGGACGGUACUGACGCUGAGACGCGAAAGCGUGGGGAGCGAACAGG
rnacentral:rRNA from 1 species